GUUUUCUUUUUAUUUAUUUUUUUCAGAUUCAAAAUACAGUAAUACAUUUAUUCUCUUUAUAAAUAUACCAAUGAUACUACAAAAAAAAAAAAAGAAAUCCAGUGUGUAUAUCAUUAAGGGUUAAUAAAGUGCUGGCUUAGUGUUGCUGGAAGCUACACCACCAAAACCAAGAUUCCAUUCAUAAAACCUGAAGGUUGCAUUAAAACCAUUAUGUGUUGCAAAACAAAACCUUGACCAUUAAAACAUGCAUUCGAGAUGAGAAAACGCAUUGCGAAUCCUCUAACCGCUGUGUAACUCUGCCAGGCUUC